rnacentral:lncRNA from 10 species
UAUUUAAUGAAGGAACUUUUUAUUGAUGUUGGGGCAAGGUUCAGGGACCAACAAGAAUAUAUGAGGCACUCAGGAACUCUGAUGUCAGGAAACCUUUAUCACCCCUACCCAGAAAGAGAUAAGGGUGAGGGACAGUGUUAAUGAAGCCUAGUUGAAGGAUGGAGUUGUGGAUGUUGGCCUGUCCAAGAGUAGUUGUGGCCAUAAUAAGAACAGCCACUGCUAGGACCAUGGCAGACCCUGCACUCCAUGGAUCAGCUCACACCACCCAGACCAGUAAUCUGACCCAAGAACAGAAGACAUUAAGAAAACCUAAUUUCAACCCCCUAUGAUUCCAUCUCCAACCUGACCAGCCAGCAUUCCCCACUUCCCAAGCCCCUACCCACCAAAUUAUCUUUUAAAACUCUGAUCCC